CAGGCGACGCAGGGGAGUGGGGGUGGCAGGCACAGGGGACAGGUGACUGCAAGGUUGCAAAGAGCACAGUCCCGGCAGCCCCUGGGGGUUGGUGGGAUGUUCGGGGGACACUGAAGUCUCUCUGGGGCCACCUACACCUGGACUAACCAGGGACUCCACAAGGGUUUGGGUGGAUCUGUCAGAACGUGGAGAGAUGAGAACAAUUACUUUUAGUUCAGUCGCAGAAGGUUGGGAGGCAUUUAUGGUGCAUCUGAUAGAAGAUUCCAGAGAUGGAGGAUACUCACACAGCUAGAUAGGUUCAGGGGUGAGGGACUUCAGAGAGUACCAAUGUCACGAGGUGCCUGCGGACUCGCAGCAGCCCCUUCAGGCAGGUGUCAAGGAGGAGUUUCUUUACUUGAGAAUGGGAACAAGAAGGCCUGUCACGCAGGGUGACGUGAGGACUGUGAGCAAAUACAGAAAGUCCAUAACCAGCGCUCAGUAAGUGAACUAACGUCACCCAAGGAUGAGGAAACUGAGGAUUAGGGGCUGUGCCGCAGGUCCCACAGCCAGGACCUCGCCCAGCAGGCCCUCGGCCUCCUCCGAAGGCCUGCCACGAGCCGGCAGUGGCCACAGCACCCGCGGAACGAGACUAUGGGUGCACAUUCCCCAAAGUCUGGAGACAAGACACAACAGCCCCAAGUCCCAGGCUCUGCAAGAAGAGGCUCAAAGCACUGGAGAGACCUCUGAGGAGGACGUCUCAGCCCUGAUGCUGACGGAAAGGCGCGUCUGGGAUUUGAGGACGUGCGCGUGGAUGUGAGGAACUGGUGGGGGAUGGUGGAUUCUGGACACUAUGACCUGAAAGGUGUUCCCCAGAGAAUUCUAAAACAAACCGGCAGCUGCUGCAGAACGAUUCCUGGACACCUGGAGAAACACAGGCGCAAAGUCAACACAACAAGGAAACAUUUAUUUUGCUGGGGAGUUACUGAGAAACGUGAACCCUUCAACUCCAGACACUGACGUGCGGCGCUCAGCUUUCAGGGAGUGCCACUGCUGCUGCCAAGUUCGCCGCUGCUUCUCUACGUUCCACGCCAUCGUCUCAGUUCAGAUGUACAUGUAUUAUGCCCAUUACUAGAGCUUCAACAACAAAUCAAAAGAAAACCCAAUAAAGGAUGACAAGUGUAACAAAAACAGAGUUUCUGAGGAAGCAAAAACGAGAAUUAGGAGCCACAGGUGACUCUGAACGUAAAUUAUUCACCAAGAUCACAAAACUAAAACAAUAACAUAGGAGAAAGACCAACAACAUCUUUAAGAGACUCGAAUCUUUUCUUUCUGCUCUAACAUCUGAAUGGCAGUUCUCUGACCUCAACACACAGCGGGCACCGGGAGUGGUGAUUGUCUCAUUGGCCUGAUUGUCCUUGGCCUCAAAAGGAGAUCUGAGAGCAAGACAACUGAAGGCAGCAAGCAGUCAAUUCAACGUCGCAGCUGAGAGCUGAUGCUCAGGACCUGAAAUCCCAUCAGUGUGACUUUGGAAGUUAUUUCACUAUUUCCACUGCUUUGUAAUGCCAAGGAUCUGAUCUCUAAAGAUAACUUAUCUAGUGACACUCUAAUCC